rnacentral:rRNA from 1 species
UACGGAGGGGGCUAGCGUUGUUCGGAAUUACUGGGCGUAAAGCGCACGUAGGCGGGCUGGAAAGUCAGGGGUGAAAUCCCGGGGCUCAACCCCGGAACUGCCUUUGAAACUUCCAGUCUUGAGGUCGAGAGAGGUGGGUGGAAUUCCGAGUGUAGAGGUGAAAUUCGUAGAUAUUCGGAGGAACACCGGUGGCGAAGGCGGCCCACUGGCUCGAUACUGACGCUGAGGUGCGAAAGCGUGGGGAGCAAACAGG